UGUAGGCCUCUGUGAAGCCUGAACUCCAGUAGGGCCCAAGCCAGCCAGGAAGGAGGAGGCAGCCAGAGUGGCCACCACUGGUCUCUGCAGCAGCAGACCCCUUGCUGCCUUGCCCAACCCAGCCCAGCAUUUGCCAGGUCGAUAGGUCAACACAAGGGGAGAUACAGGUUCUCCAUGGCCAGUUGCAGCCAAGAAAGAAGAAAAGCCAAUAGAACAUGCGGACACCACUGCAUCACCCAUACAAGAUGUGUGAAUUAAUAUUAUUAAAUACUUCUCCAGGCAUCUUUAUUAUGAUACACCUUGUUCUCCUAUGCUCUGUCCUAGAUUCUGAAUGUGAUGGCCUAAUGUGUUAAGAAUGUCUUUGGUGUGAGGCCACUCCACUUUGAUGGGGGAGGGACCUUGGACUGGGCGACCUUCCAACCCAGCAGUUCUACUCCAGCUUCUCGAAACAUCUGACAUGGAAACAUCUGCACAUCAAGAGUACGAAUAUGAAUACAAAAUUUAACUGCAGCCACAGACCAGCAAAACAACAACAACAACAACCCCUAGAAAAUAACAAGUGUUAUGUUACAGCUGCUAUAGCAAACAUCACAUCUUACCAAGGUAGUUAUCAUCAUCUGGUUUCCCUGAGUAACUAUGCUGCCGCACAUCAAUAUUUGUAGCACCAGCUGGUAUGCGUACCACAGUGUUAUAACCUGGGAAGAUAAACUAGAAAGUCAAGCUUCACAUGUAUUUGUAUCUUUUGCUUUUCAUGGGCAUGGUGAAGGGGGGCGGGGAAGGUACAAUGAAAAUAAGUGUAAUCAUCAUCUGGUUUUAUACCAAUUGUAGGUAUAUGUUUACAGCCUGCAUGUAGUAGCAAGAAAAUAACAUGUCUAGUACUUAAAUGGAUUUUUGAAUAUUUUGGUGUUAGACUUUUGACUGCAUUGAGUGUGUUUAAGGUGUUUUCUACCCUUGCGUUUUUCUCUAGUAGAGCUUUCAGUGACAGGUUCUUACCAUAGAGCACAGUAUUGAAUGUCCCUGCAACAGUUUUGCAU